rnacentral:hammerhead_ribozyme from 1 species
AAGCUGACGAGUCCCAAAUAGGACGAAAUGCACAUCCUGACU